rnacentral:rRNA from 1 species
GCUAAGCCGUCAACAUUGAGGGUUUCUUUUACCUAACCGUCCGCCAGAGAACUACAAGUGAAAAACUUCAAACUUAAAGGACUUGACGGUAUCCCAAAUCGACCUAGAGGAGCCUGUCCUAUAAUCGAUACCCCCCGCUCCACCCAACCUCAACUAGCACAUAUCAGCCUAUAUACCGCCGUCGACAGCCUACCCUAUGAAGGUCCAACAGUAGACACAAUAGCCCCCCGCUAAUACGUCAGGUCAAGGUGUAGCAAAUGUUGAGGAAGAGAUUGGCUACAUUUUUUAUGAUAAAAAAAACGAAAAGCACUAUGAAAUAGUACACGAAGGUGAAUUUAGUAGUAAAAUAAACAAGAGUGUUUAUUUUAACACCGCUCUGGGAUGUGUACACACCGCCCGUCACCCUCCUCGUCUUAACAUAAACUUAAUUUAUAAAUCAAAACACCCUACUAGAGGAGGU